rnacentral:rRNA from 1 species
ACAUGCAAGUCGAACGAUGAAGCCCUUCGGGGUGGAUUAGUGGCGAACGGGUGAGUAACACGUGGGCAAUCUGCCCUUCACUCUGGGACAAGCCCUGGAAACGGGGUCUAAUACCGGAUAUUACCGCUGACCGCAUGGUCUGGUGGUGGAAAGCUCCGGCGGUGAAGGAUGAGCCCGCGGCCUAUCAGCUUGUUGGUGAGGUAGUGGCUCACCAAGGCGACGACGGGUAGCCGGCCUGAGAGGGCGACCGGCCACACUGGGACUGAGACACGGCCCAGACUCCUACGGGAGGCAGCAGUGGGGAAUAUUGCACAAUGGGCGAAAGCCUGAUGCAGCGACGCCGCGUGAGGGAUGACGGCCUUCGGGUUGUAAACCUCUUUCAGCAGGGAAGAAGCGAAAGUGACGGUACCUGCAGAAGAAGCGCCGGCUAACUACGUGCCAGCAGCCGCGGUAAUACGUAGGGCGCAAGCGUUGUCCGGAAUUAUUGGGCGUAAAGAGCUCGUAGGCGGCUUGUCACGUCGAUUGUGAAAGCCCGAGGCUUAACCUCGGGUCUGCAGUCGAUACGGGCUAGCUAGAGUGUGGUAGGGGAGAUCGGAAUUCCUGGUGUAGCGGUGAAAUGCGCAGAUAUCAGGAGGAACACCGGUGGCGAAGGCGGAUCUCUGGGCCAUUACUGACGCUGAGGAGCGAAAGCGUGGGGAGCGAACAGGAUUAGAUACCCUGGUAGUCCACGCCGUAAACGGUGGGAACUAGGUGUUGGCGACAUUCCACGUCGUCGGUGCCGCAGCUAACGCAUUAAGUU